rnacentral:tRNA from 1 species
GGUCCCGUAGCUCAGCAGGAUAGAGCACCGGAUUCCUAAUCCGGGGGUCGGAGGUUCAAAUCCUCCCGGGAUCA